UGAACGCUGGCGGUAGGCCUAACACAUGCAAGUCGAACGGCAGCACAGUAAGAGCUUGCUCUUACGGGUGGCGAGUGGCGGACGGGUGAGGAAUACAUCGGAAUCUACUUUUUCGUGGGGGAUAACGUAGGGAAACUUACGCUAAUACCGCAUACGACCUACGGGUGAAAGCAGGGGAUCUUCGGACCUUGCGCGAUUGAAUGAGCCGAUGUCGGAUUAGCUAGUUGGCGGGGUAAAGGCCCACCAAGGCGACGAUCCGUAGCUGGUCUGAGAGGAUGAUCAGCCACACUGGAACUGAGACACGGUCCAGACUCCUACGGGAGGCAGCAGUGGGGAAUAUUGGACAAUGGGCGCAAGCCUGAUCCAGCCAUACCGCGUGGGUGAAGAAGACCUUCGGGUUGUAAAGCCCUUUUGUUGGGAAAGAAAAGCAGCAGGUUAAUACCCCGCUGUUCUGACGGUACCCAAAGAAUAAGCACCGGCUAACUUCGUG
rnacentral:rRNA from 1 species